UGAAAGUGGUGAUCUGGGCAGUUGUUAGGGAUUUUUGGAUUUCUACAUUUAACCUCUGAAUAAAUCUCUUUAUUCUUUUUCGCUCCGUGACCACAAGUUCAGGGGCAAAUUUGAAAAGUUUAGUGAACCGCUCCUCAUACUCGAGCACACUUAGUAACCCCUGUUUCAACUUAAUAAAGUCAUUCUCCUUCUUUUCUUGUAUCAUAGGUGGAAGGAAUUUGGCAUUGAACUCCCUCUCAAAGUUUGCCUAAGUCCAAGGGGUUUGUUAUCUUUCCUACUUUGCCCUAACAACGUUCCACCAUGAGCGGACUGCUCCCUCG
rnacentral:lncRNA from 1 species